rnacentral:lncRNA from 1 species
GUUAGUUUUGGGCCUCCUGUUUCUUUGCCCACAUGAAAAGGACGCCAUGAUCGACUUCUACAGCGAGAAGGAAAAUACCAACGUUCCAGGGGAGUGUCCGCCCUGCCAUGAGGAGCAAGAGCCCCCAGAGAUGGAACGGGGUCAGGGACUUGAAGGCAAAUCCACACUGUCGGUUGGCUGGCCCCGCUUGGUGAAAGAUAGCAACCAGCUCCUGCACAGAACCAUAUGUGAGCCUCUUGACUGAGUGUUCUGCACCAUGGAGUGCCCCGAGUUUGAUUCUGGAAAACAGCUCUGGCUCCCACAGCUCUCAGGAUGUUCUACCCACCCUGCCUCCCAACAACGGUGACCUAUGAACGCUGAUCCAGGCCAGCUGCUCUGAAACUGCUCUGGGCUCAAGAGUCAUUUGAGCAAGGCAUUUUCUAACUGUCAGUUCUCAGUGCCUACUUGCACCCAGAGAUUUCAGCGUGCUAGGUCGGGCGGGGAUCUCUGGACCCCGUCUCUCCGGUCUAAAGACCACCGUGUACGAAAUGAUUAUCUGAGCCCUAGAAAAACUUAAAUAUAGACUUUUGUUUUUACUUGAAAAAGGCUAACACUUUAUUCAUCGGAAACAUCUAACACACCCGGUGGUUGAGUAGCAGCACGGUGAUUAAGAGUGGGGCUUUGGAGUGGGA